AAAAUACUUCCUCCGUCCGAAAAUACUUGUCAUCAAAAUGAAUAAAAAGGGAUAUAUCUAAUUGUAUUUUAGUUUUAGAUACAUCCUUUUUUGUCCGUUUGAUGACAAGUAUUUUCGGACGGAGGGAGUAUAUU
rfam:Triticum aestivum genome assembly, contig: Triticum_aestivum_CS42_TGACv1_scaffold_593221_7BS